AUGGUAUCUUAUGGAAUGGCAUCCAUUCAGAACAGCUUUCAACACGAUGUGUUUUUGAGCUUCAGAAAAGACUAAGGUUUGGAUUUAUACCUCAACAAGAAGAGGAAUUCGGUUGAAGUGGUUGGUGUCAGUUAAAUCGGUUUUAUGGUGGUGGGAUUGAUUUUAGAACUCGCCAGAAAACUCCACCGAGUGGGUUUUCUAAUAAAUAAUCAUUUGACACUUUAGCAGUUGGAUUAACAGUGACCACCAAGGCUUCAGCAUGGAUCCAACUUGUUGUUUUUUCAAAUCGUAGUCUCCUGCUGAGCUCAGAGUUUUCAUCUUGAUAAGGAUGGCUUUCU
rnacentral:lncRNA from 1 species